UAUCUGGCAAAGAGAUUUGCAGAGUGUCGGGUGACCGGCAAAGAGAUCUGCAAAGUGUCAGUUGAAGACGACGAGAGGGGUCGCAGACGUAGCAACGACUGGAGUAUAACAUGAAGGAGAUCAUCAUUUGGCAAAGUUCUGGCAAAGAGAUUUGCAGAGUGUCGGGUGACCGGCAAAGAGAUCUGCAAAGUGUCAGUUGAAGACGACGGGAGGGGUCGCAGAGGAAUUAGUGACUGGAGAAUAGCAUGCAGGAGUGGGUGAUCCCUGAGAAGCUGCCCUGGGAGGAGAGCUGCGGACACAUGCUCCAAAUGUUGGGACAUAUGCAUUACCUAUUAGGAGAUGCGGUAAAGAUGCAGGCUGUUGGGUUUACAGCAGUCAGAAUACUGACACUGGGAUCCCGACACUCUUCAGAAGCCCGCUGUUGGAACUCCAA